rnacentral:rRNA from 1 species
UACGAGGGGGGCGAGCGUUGUUCGGAAUUAUUGGGCGUAAAGGGUGCGUAGGCGGUUUGGUAAGUCUUAUGUGAAAUCUAUGGGCUCAACUCAUAGACUGCAUGAGAAACUGCCGGGCUUGAGUAUGGGAGAGGUGAGUGGAAUUCCUGGUGUAGCGGUGAAAUGCGUAGAUAUCGGGAGGAACACCAAUGGCGAAGGCAGCUCGCUGGGACGGUACGUGACGCUGAGACGCGAAAGCGUGGGGAGCAGAACGAG